GCCAGUUCUUCGUUAAAGCUAAACCUACUGACAUAUGUUGCUCAGAAAAAACAGGAGGUUGAACCCUUUAUUAAGGAAUUCCUGAGGCUGCCAAAGCCCUUAUCACUGGCUUAUAAUGAAGGAAUGAAACCUGAGAAUGCAAAGAAGAAUCAGUGUAAAACUAUACUUCCAUACGACCAUUCACGUGUGAAACUUCGACCUGACGAGAUUUCUUCUUCAGAUUACAUCAAUGCAAACUUCAUCUGCGUACGUCAAAACCCUUUCAUUCUCAGGGAUAUUCAGC